CGAGGAGACGGACACGCGGCAGAUGACAGGAAGGGCUCGGAACAAGCUGCGCUGAGGACAGCCCAAGGGGCACCCGCUGCCCCCCAUCUGUGUCUGCCUCAGCCGCUGCCCUCCGUCUGUGUCUGCCUCAGGCGCUGCCCUCCGUCUGUGUCUGUCUGCCUCAGCGGCUGCCCUCCCGUCUGUGUCUGUCUGCCUCAGUCGCUGCCCUCCGUCUGGGUCUGUCUGCCUCAGUCGCUGCCCUCCGUCUGUGUCUGUCUGCCUCAGUCGCUGCCCUCCGUCUGUGUCUGCCUCAGUCGCUGCCCUCCGUCUGUGUCUGUCUGCCUCAGCGGCUGCCCUCCGUCUGUGUCUGCCUCUGCCUCAGUCGCUGCCCUCCGUCUGUGUCUGCUUCUGCCUCAGUCGCUGCCCUCCGUCUGUGUCUGCCUCAGUCGCUGCCCUCCGUCUGUGUCUGUCUGCCUCAGCGGCUGCCCUCCGUCUGUGUCUGCCUCUGCCUCAGUCGCUGCCCUCCGUCUGUGUCUGCCUCUGCCUCAGUCGCUGCCCUCCGUCUGUGUCUGUCUGCCUCAGUCGCUGCCCUCCGUCUGUGUCUGCCUCUGCCUCAGUCGCUGCCCUCCGUCUGUGUCUGCCUCAGUCGCUGCCCUCUGUCUGUGUCUGUCUGCCUCAGCCGCUGCCCUCCGUCUGUGUCUGUCUGCCUCAGCCGCUGCCCUCCAUCUGUGUCUGCCUCAGUCGCUGCCCUCCAUCUGUGUUUGUCUGCCUCAGCCUCCCGGGAACCCGCUGCCCUCCGUCUGUGUCUGCCUCAGUCGCUGCCCUCUGUCUGUGUUUGUCUGCCUCAGCCUCCCGGGACACCCGCUGCCCCCCAUCUGUGUCUGCCUCAGUCGCUGCCCUCCGUCUGUGUCUGCCUCUGCCUCUGGGGCAUCUCACGAGCCCCCUCCCUCUCUGGACAAACUGGGAGGGCGCUGGGAGGAGCCUGCCCCACGGAGGUGGGAAGGGCCAGCUGGAGCCAGAGCCAUGGCCUGGGGAUGGGUGACCCUGGCCAAGUCCCUGCACCCCCAAGGCAUGGGAGGUGGAGCCUUUGAAAAAGGAGCCGGUCCACAGACACCUGGCCACAGGUGCCCAGUUCUAACGGGAGGGGGGGGGGGCUGGAGGGGCUGUGCAGGGCCAGGCCUCAUCCUCCACCAGACUACCCUGGAGAAACAGGCUCCUUGCUGUUCCCCAACACAAGAUGCCAGUUCCUGCCGCCUUUCCUUUGCCCAGGUCUCCCCUUCUGCCGGGGAUGCCGCCCCCCUCCCCCUAGGUUACUUUGUAAUUACUUUGGCUCUUUUGUAG
rnacentral:lncRNA from 1 species